rnacentral:rRNA from 1 species
GCCUCAGUAACGGCGAGUGAGCGGCAACAGCUCAAUUUGAAAUCUGGUCCCCCCGGGGCCCGAGUUGUAAUUUGGAGAGGAUGCUUUGGGGCGUCCGCCGGCCUAAGUUCCUUGGAACGGGACGUCACAGAGGGUGAGAACCCCGUACGUGGCCGGAGAGGUGCCCCGCGUAAAGCUCCUUCGACGAGUCGGGUUGUUUGGGAAUGCAGCCCUAAAUGGGAGGUAAAUUUCUUCUAAAGCUAAAUACCGGCCAGAGACCGAUAGCGCACAAGUAGAGUGAUCGAAAGAUGAAAAGCACUUUGGAAAGAGAGUUAAAAAGCACGUGAAAUUGUUGAAAGGGAAGCGCUUGCGAUCAGUCUCGACGGCCGCCGUUCGGCCCCUCUUAUGAGCGGCUCACUCGGCUGCCGCCGGGCCAGCAUCAGUUCCGGCGGUUGGACAAAGGCGGCGGGAACGUGGCCCCUCGGGGUGUUAUAGCCCGCCGCGAAAUACGGCCAGCCGGGACUGAGGUCCGCGAUUCGUCCAGGAUGCUGGCAAAAUGGUUGCAAGCGGCCCGUCU